GACGAACGCUGGCGGCGUGCUUAACACAUGCAAGUCGAACGGAACUCUUUGGAUCGAGACUUCGGUCAAGUGAAUCUGAGUUUAGUGGCGGACGGGUGAGUAACGCGUGAGGAACCUGCCUUUCAGAGGGGGACAACAGUUGGAAACGACUGCUAAUACCGCAUAACAUGUACGGAUCGCACGGUCUGUACAUCAAAGCUUUAUGUGCUGAAAGAUGGCCUCGCGUCUGAUUAGAUAGUUGGUGAGGUAACGGCUCACCAAGUCGACGAUCAGUAGCCGGUCUGAGAGGAUGAACGGCCACAUUGGGACUGAGAUACGGCCCAGACUCCUACGGGAGGCAGCAGUGGGGAAUAUUGGGCAAUGGGGGAAACCCUGACCCAGCAACGCCGCGUGAAGGAAGAA
rnacentral:rRNA from 1 species